GUACUUAGCAGCAUAAAUUUAGUGUUCUCUAAUAAUCUACCUGAAAUGUUCAAGAAUAUUUUCUAUGCAAUUAUGAAAAUAGACUAGAGAAAUUAUACACAUUCUCAGGACUGGAUUACAUUUUUAUAUUUUAUCACAGAUCAGUUAAUUUCUGGCUACUUCUUGCAGGACCUAACCCCAUUUGCUGGCUCUUUCCAGAGGCAGGACUUCGGUACAAAUGACACAGGCAGGGCCCUCUCUCCCAUCAGCAAUGGACUCGUGGCACUGAGAUGUCCAAGGGCAGCUGCUGGAUCUCACCCUGAGGAUUCCUGCUGAGCUUCUCUUGUGGAAGAGCUGGCAUAGACAGGAAGAAAAGCUGCUUUUAAGAUUCCUUGAUGUUGCUGGGGUCCCUCUGUGCAGUGUGGCACUCACUGCUCUGCCUCAGUAAAGAGGUGGGUGGCAAAAUCAGGACUCAAUCCCCAAUCCCUGUGCCUGGACACACCUGAGGGAGCCUUGUAACCAGGAUUUGUUCCAGGGGCUGCAGAAGGAGGAAAGGGUCCAAACCCACAUUCCUCCAUCAGCCCAGGUGCAAUUAAGUGGCCUUUCUGCAUUUGCAGUUCCCUGUGUCUCAACAGAUAGUAGUUAAUAAUUUUAAUUAUCUGCAACCAGAUAAUUAAUUCUGAUGGGCAUCUUGAUAGGAACAACUUGUCAUGGCACAAGGCUUCAUAAAGUUGACAGUGGCUCUCUAGGCAGCAACUGCUUUUGAUGGAAGAUCUCCAAACUGCUUAAGGUAUGUUUGAAAUAUUAAAAUAGAAAUGGUUGCUUUGUUUCCUGGCUGGCUCUAGAUUGAGCAUUAGGUCACAUCAAAGUCAAAGUGCAUUUUUAAUGAUCAGUGCUAGCUGGGGUGCUGAGCCUUGAGGAAUGGUGUGGGAAAGGGGAGAUCAGGACUAAAUUGGCUUCUCCUUAGGAUGCUGGAAAGAGAAAGGCAAGCA
rnacentral:lncRNA from 1 species